UACGAAGGGGGCUAGCGUUGCUCGGAAUUACUGGGCGUAAAGCGCACGUAGGCGGAUUGUUAAGUCGGGGGUGAAAUCCUGGAGCUCAACUCCAGAACUGCCUUCGAUACUGGCGAUCUCGAGUUCGGGAGAGGUGAGUGGAACUGCGAGUGUAGAGGUGAAAUUCGUAGAUAUUAGGAAGAACACCAGUGGUGAAGGCGGCUCACUGGUCCGGUACUGACGCUGAGGUGCGAAAGCGUGGGGAGCAAACAGG
rnacentral:rRNA from 1 species